UACGAAGGGGGCUAGCGUUGCUCGGAAUCACUGGGCGUAAAGAGCGCGCAGGCGGUCGUUCAAGUCGCGUGUGAAAGCCCCCGGCUCAACUGGGGAGGGUCACGCGAUACUGAUCGACUCGAAGGCAGGAGAGGGUAGUGGAAUUCCCGGUGUAGUGGUGAAAUGCGUAGAUAUCGGGAGGAACACCAGUGGCGAAGGCGGUUCUCUGGGCAUUACCUGACGCUGAGGAGCGAAAGUGUGGGGAGCGGAACAGG
rnacentral:rRNA from 1 species